GCUGGCCAUAACACGCAGUGGUUACCCCGGCGAUGUGCUACGGGCCGUUCAGUUCCAGCCACCUGUUUACCUGAUGACGCCUCUCCAGAAUGGCCUUCCUCGGUGUGCCCAUUGACGCAUGGUUCCUCCCGGAUCCAUUCCUGCGACAACUUUCCGUCUUCGCCUUUUUCACCUCAUGCGAAGCCACUUCGCCCAUGCUGGAAGCUUUCCAGCGCGCCCUCUCGGGCCAAUUCAAUCACGGGUUGCCUAGAGCCAUAUCCGGAUGAAACCAUCUUUUUGUGCUGGAAACAUGGGCGUGGCUUUGCCUCACCUGGAACUGCCACAGCAGGACAAAAGCGCCAGUCGGCAACGAUCCACUUGGGGCUCGAUACCACAGCAACGAUGCCGAACUUACCACCGCUGUUGCUACAGAUCAUGGGAAAAAACACACACCACCCCCACCACGGUUUGGAGCAGUUUUUCCAGGAUGACAUGUCUUGCCACUGAACGCGUUUUCAGUACAGGAUACCUUUUGACCAAAUUGACGCACAAAAUAAA
rnacentral:lncRNA from 1 species